rnacentral:lncRNA from 1 species
UCUAAACCCUAAAAACUAAUAAUAAUACUAACUAAAACUAUCAAUUUGAGUUUUUAUUAAUCUUAAUAACUAAACUAACUACAAAAAAUAAUAAAAAUUAUACAAAAAAACAUAAAAACAAGAUAAUCAAUUAUUUUUAAAAAAAUACCUUUUUUUCUCUUCUCUUUCUCUCUUUUUCUCUCUUUUUUCGGCGCCACCUCGUUUUUCUCUUCUUCUUCUU